UUUUGCUUAUGGCAGUGGGUUUGUUAAGUACUGUGCUCGCUGAUAAGUGACCAUGAGGAAUAAGAAAAGGCUACUUUCAUUUUCUCUCAGGAUCUCUUCCUGGGAUCAUUUCUCUGCAUGGUAGCAAUGGAGUUAUACAUUACUAUGAUACAACAGGAAAAAACUUGUCACUGACGGGCCAAGGGCAAGCCUAGGCAAAAUAAAGAAAGCUCAGAGAGGCGGAAGAUAUAUUUGCAUGUGGCACAUUUUUCUACAACGAAUUUUGGAUGGUGAAGUUGGAGACGUAUGGCUUGUUGGCCAGCUCCACUGAAGAUGUUAAACAGAGGAGAGGCACGGGCAUGCAUGGGCUUUGGAACCACUGUUCUGUUAGCCUUGAGGAAAAUGAAUUAGAGAUGAGAAAAAUUGGAAAGACUGAAGUGCAUGAAAGGUUACAGCAGUUUUCAGAGGGACAUAUAUCAACGCAGCAGAUCCGUGCCUGUCUCAGCCAUCAUCAGAGAAGCUUCCUAUUGGAUGGAAAUAAAUACAGACACACACAGCUAAUGUGCAGAGAGUAUGAGAUGUUGGGAUACUCUGUCCUAAAAGGGAUGUCUCUAUCCAUCUCCUCUCAGGACUCGGAACUUUGCAGAAGAGGAGGCAGAAACAGUGUAGGAACCAGAGUGAGUGGAGGCCACCAAGGGAUCAAGGCUUUCUAAAAACAACAGCACCCUGCACAAAUGAGCUCACAGAGACUGAGGCAGCAAGCACAGGACCUGUGUCGUCUGCACCAGAGGGAGUACUAGAACUGAAAGGAGACGUGGACACAGGUCCCCAUCCCUAACUCAGAAGCUAUCUCCAAGUCAUUGUCCUCUUGCAAAUGAAAAUUUAGUUUUCUACAAGAGACUCGCUGGGGAAACAAAUUACUCUUAAGGGUAGGCUGCAUGCCCAGUAGUGGACGACAGACAGAAAAUGAACUCCAUGGCAUCUUUGAAGGUUCCUUAUCUCAUAAUGUUGCGCCAGGGCUUUUAAAAUUAAUUAAUUAACUAAUUUUUAACCUUACAGGUCCUUUGCAUACAUUUUGCUGCUUCUGGUUUUGUGUUUCUGUGGGAUUCCUAUGUGUGAAAGUAAGUUUUUGUACCUGUGUGUAUUUCUCAUGCUUUUCUUUGACUCCUUUUUUUCUGAUUUGUCUGAUUCCUACUUUUUUGUUCUGUUUAAUUUUAUCAUUAUUUCUUAGAUGUCUGUUUUCUAAUU